rnacentral:rRNA from 1 species
CAAUAGCGUAUAUUAAAGUUGUUGCAGUUAAAAAGCUCGUAGUCGGAUUUUGGCAUCAUGCCGAACUGUCAGCCGAUUGGUUUGUACGGUUUGGCGGGUGCUCUCCUUCCGGAGGCUCGUUUCCUCUUUCAUUAGAGGGUUCGAUGGUUCCGGGUCUUUUACUUUGAAAAAUUAGAGUGUUCAAAGCAGGCCUAUGCUCUGAAUAGGUUAGCAUGGAAUAAUAAAAUAGGACCUUGGUUCUAUUUUGUUGGUUUCUAGGACCGAGGUAAUGAUUAAUAGGGAUAUUUGGGGGCAUUCGUAUUAACCGGUCAGAGGUGGAAUUCUUGGAUUCGGUUACGACGAACUACUGCGAAAGCAUUUGUCAAGAAUGUUUUCAUUGAUCAAGAACGAAAGUGUGGGGAUCGAAGAUGAUCAGAUACCGU